rnacentral:snRNA from 1 species
AUCACUUCUCGGCCUUUUGGCUAAGAUCAAAUGUAGUAGCUGUUCUUAUCAGUUUAAUAUCUGAUACAUCCUCUACUCGAGGAUAAUACGUUAAAUGGAUUUUUGGAGCAGGGAGAUGGAAUAGGAGCUUGCUCUGUCCACUUCACACAUACACCAGGUAUUGCAGUACUUCCAGGAAUGGUGCACCCCCU